AUGAACGCUGGCGGCGUGCUUAACACAUGCAAGUCGAACGAAGCACUUUAUUUGAUUUCCUUCGGGACUGAUUAUUUUGUGACUGAGUGGCGGACGGGUGAGUAACGCGUGGGUAACCGCCUUGUACAGGGGGAUAACAGUUGGAAACGGCUGCUAAUACCGCAUAAGCGCACAGCAUCGCAUGAUGCAGUGUGAAAAACUCCGGUGGUAUAAGAUGGACCCGCGUUGGAUUAGCUAGUUGGUGAGGUAACGGCCCACCAAGGCGACGAUCCAUAGCCGACCUGAGAGGGUGACCGGCCACAUUGGGACUGAGACACGGCCCAAACUCCUACGGGAGGCAGCAGUGGGGAAUAUUGCACAAUGGGCGAAAGCCUGAUGCAGCGACGCCGCGUGAGCGAAGAAGUAUUUCGGUAUGUAAAGCUCUAUCAGCAGGGAAGAUAAUGACGGUACCUGACUAAGAAGCACCGGCUAAAUACGUG
rnacentral:rRNA from 1 species